CAAACCUUUGCUGAUUUUGGCCAUCUAUUGAACACAUGCCUCCUCACUCUGCGAUUACCUGUUGGGGGGCAGUAUUACAUUUCUAAACUGGGGUUCGGGUGGCAUUUGGUCAGUGAGUAUAGUUACAAAGUCUAUGACAUGUAUGGUAAGGCUGACUUCUCUGAACCAAGCGUCAAUUCCUAUGUCCUACUAUAAAACACUGCAGAUGCUGGACAGCUGAAAUAAAAUGAAAAAAAUGCUGCGAAUGUUCAUCAGGUCAGACAGCAUCUGGGGAGAAGGGGACCGUGUUAACGUGGCAUGGCCGUGUCCUUUCUUCAGAGCUUCCAUAUUCUGAAAGUGGCCAUCUGCAAUUACUGCCUCCCUUCCCUCGGUCUUCUUCAAAACUAUAUAUUAUUCAACAAUUCAUUCCGCCAAUUUCAUACGGUAACCGGGUGCUUGGCUCACAAGCUGACUUCGCUCAGAGUGAAACACAUAAUCAGGGAGUGCGGCUCGGCGCUGUUUACAGAAAAGCAACAAGUCCAUUUACUGAACUGUACUUUGCCCGAUGUUGAGCGAUGAGAGAGGCGAGAACUCGCAGCUCAUGUUGUGUCUGUGCCGCUGUCCCGUCAUCUGGAUCAUGUCAAUUACGGUGAAUUCUCUUUCUCUUCCCCACCCGUCCCUGUUCUACUGGCGACGCUGAAUCUUUAAUAUAAACAGUGUCACAAGAGUCUCUGACAUGUAAAGUCGUUUGGCUAGGCAUAUUUUUCUUUGCGGGUGAUUUAUGAUCUUUCAUUUUUCGUCAAGAUUAUAAAUAAAACGUUGUCCAGUAAAUUAUUCAGGCCAUGAAGAUUAAACACUAUAAGAGGGGUGAUUGAUAAGUUCAUGGCCUAAGGUAAAAGGAGUCAAUUUCAGAAAACCUAGCACAUUUAUUUUUCAACAUAGUCCCCUCCUACAUUUACACACUUAGUCCAGCGGUCGUGGAGCAUACGGAUCCCUCCUUUGUAGAAGUGGUCCACAGCCGGGGUGAUUGAUAAGUUCGUAGCCUAUGGUAGAAUUAUACAGCUCUCGGUACAUGCACGAACAGUUCAACUCUUUUGAUUGAAAAUGCGAAAAGUUUGAACUUAAUAACUCAAACACCAGGAAUUCUGCAGAUGCUGGAAAUUCAAGCAACUUUUAUGUAAGUUAAUAACUCAUCUCCUUCUACCUUAGGCCACGAACUUAUCAAUCACCCCUCGUAAUAGCGAGAAAGAGAAUGGGAAAAAUGCAGCUAGUCAGGUAGCCACUGAGCAGAGAGAUUUUCAGGUAGAUGGAGCCUUUCCUAUGAAGCUCGUAGUCGUUUGAAAGGAACUUAAAAUUCCUCCGAGUUAUCAUUUCUGAGGAUCUGCCCAGGACGCAGCACGUAAAUGUACUUAGGAAGAAAGCACGGCAACGCCUCUACCUCCUCAGAAAACUUUGUCAAACUUCUAUAGAUAUCUGGUGAAGCGUUUAUUGACUGGUUGAAUCACGGCCUAGUUUAGAAACACCAAUGCCCUUGAACGAAUAAUUCUACAAAAAGUAGUGGAUAUGGCCUAGUACAUCACGGGUAAAGCCCUCCCUACUAUUGAGCACGUCUCCGCGGAUUACUGGCUCAGAAAAGCCCAUCUAUCUUCAACGACCAACACCACCCAGAACUUGCUCUCUUCUCGCUGCUGUCAUCAGAAAGGAGGUACAGGAGCCUCAGGACGCACACCACCAGGUUCAGGAAAUUAUUACUCCUUCACCAUCAGGCUCUUGAACCAGAGUGGAUAACUUCACUUGCCCCAUCACGGAACCGUUCCUAUAACUUAUGGACUCACUAUCAAUGACUCUUCAUUUCGUGUUCUAGAUAUUUAUCGUUAUCAAACUCUUUCUCUCUCUCUCUCUCUCUCUCUAUCUAUCUAUCUAUCU